GCAAAGAGGCGCCAUGGCAUUGAAGCUCGGAGAAGCCACGACGACACAAUCAAUCGCGGCCGUCGUCCUAGCUCUAAAUCCGCCGACCCAUCAUCUCCCCCACUCACCUCCCGUCCCGGGAGCCCGCAACCGCCUCCACACUUCCAAGGUGGUUCCAGUCCUCGAAGCUUUCGGGCUCGAGAGCCUCGCCUUCGACCCGAGCGGUGGGGGCAUGUACGCUGGCGUCGUCGAUGGCCAGGUCUUGAAGUGGGAGGGUGACGAGUGUGGGCGGGUCAACUUCGCUUUCACUUCCUCUCAAUGAGCGAGGUGACACCGCCGCCAGCAGCGACAGAGACGAUGCCCGGUCGACAGCGAGCUUGGCAGCGUCGCUCGAGAACAAGACGACCGCCUCUCUCCGGCCAGAGACCAACGGCUUCGCUGCUGUCGCCUUCGGCUUUAGGGAUGGGGAAGACGAGCAGAUGCCGGAGACAGAGGAUGCCAUCGGAGGCUCGAGGUGGAAGCCGAUGAGAGAGGGUCAAAAUGAAGAA